UGGGGAAAUUUUGGACAAUGGGCGAAAGCCUGAUCCAGCAAUGCCGCGUGUGUGAAGAAGGCCUUCGGGUUGUAAAGCACUUUUGUCCGGAAAGAAAUCCUUGGCUCUAAUACAGUCGGGGGAUGACGGUACCGGAAGAAUAAGCACCGGCUAACUACGUGCCAGCAGCCGCGGUAAUACGUAGGGUGCAAGCGUUAAUCGGAAUUACUGGGCGUAAAGCGUGCGCAGGCGGUUUGCUAAGACCGAUGUGAAAUCCCCGGGCUCAACCUGGGAACUGCAUUGGUGACUGGCAGGCUAGAGUAUGGCAGAGGGGGGUAGAAUUCCACGUGUAGCAGUGAAAUGCGUAGAGAUGUGGAGGAAUACCGAUGGCGAAGGCAGCCCCCUGGGCCAAUACUGACGCUCAUGCACGAAAGCGUGGGGAGCAAACAGGAUUAGAUACCCUGGUAGUCCACGCCCUAAACGAUGUCAACUAGUUGUUGGGGAUUCAUUUCCUUAGUAACGUAGCUAACGCGUGAAGUUGACCGCCUGGGGAGUACGGUCGCAAGAUUAAAACUCAAAGGAAUUGACGGGGU
rnacentral:rRNA from 1 species